UACGUAGGGUGCGAGCGUUAAUCGGAAUUACUGGGCGUAAAGUGUGCGCAGGCGGCGUUGCAAGUCGAGUGUGAAAUCCCCGAGCUUAACUUGGGAAUUGCGCUCGAAACUACGAUGCUCGAGUGUGGCAGAGGAAGGUGGAAUUCCACGUGUAGCGGUGAAAUGCGUAGAGAUGGAUGGAGGAACACCGAUGGCGAAGGCAGCCUUCGUGG
rnacentral:rRNA from 1 species